rnacentral:rRNA from 1 species
GAUGAACGCUGGCGGCGUGCCUAAUACAUGCAAGUCGAGCGAAUGGAUUGAGAGCUUGCUCUUAUGAAGUUAGCGGCGGACGGGUGAGUAACACGUGGGUAACCUGCCCAUAAGACUGGGAUAACUCCGGGAAACAGGGGCUAAUACCGGAUAACAUUUUGAACCGCAUGGUUCGAAAUUGAAAGGCGGCGUCGGCCGUCACUUAUGGAUGGACUCGCGGCGCAUUAGCUAGUUGGUGAGGUAACGGCUCACCAAGGCAACGAUGCGUAGCCGAACUGAGAGGGUGAUCGGCCACACUGGGACUGAGACACGGCCCAGACUCCUACGGGAGGCAGCAGUAGGGAAUCUUCCGCAAUGGACGAGAGUCUGACGGAGCAACGCCGCGUGAGUGAUGAAGGCUUUCGGGUCGUAAAACUCUGUUGUUAGGGAAGAACAAGUGCUAGUUGAAUAAGCUGGCACCUUGACGGUACCUAACCAGAAAGCCACGGCUAACUACGUGCCAGCAGCCGCAGUAA